UACGUAGGGUGCGAGCGUUGUCCGGAAUUAUUGGGCGUAAAGAGCUCGUAGGCGGUCUGUCGCGUCGAUCGUGAAAACUUGGGGCUUAACCCUGAGCUUGCGGUCGAUACGGGCAUGACUGGAGUUCGGCAGGGGAGACUGGAAUUCCUGGUGUAGCGGUGAAAUGCGCAGAUAUCAGGAGGAACACCGGUGGCGAAGGCGGGCCUCUGGGCCGAUACUGACGCUGAGGAGCGAAAGCGUGGGGAGCGAACAGG
rnacentral:rRNA from 1 species